rnacentral:lncRNA from 1 species
CCGAAGGUUGCGGAAGCCAAACGACUAGAACUAGGGUUAGGGUUUUCUAAAUCGUCAGAGCACAAUAAGCAAACCAAACUAAUCGGAACGAUGAUCUACGAUGUCAACUCACCCCUCUUCCGAUCCUUCCUCAGCCAGAAGGGAGGCUCCUCCGAUAAGAGGUAUUUCCCUUUUCUUCAAUCUCCUUCUCUCUGUUAUCUCUCGCACCACACGCAAACCUCUGUACUGUAAUAGCCGUUUGUUUAGGUCUUGUGGGUUUUUUUUCGCUUGUUUAUUUCGUGUGAAAUUGGGGCUUUUUGUUUCGAACCUUUGCUGAGAUAUUUCUGAUUGUGGAAAUUUUGGUCUUCUAACUUUGUCGACGUGAAAGCGAGGAAAUGAUUUCAAUCGGUGGUUUAUAAGUUAUGCUUUCAAACAAUCAAACCUAUGGAUAAGAAUUUGACUCAAUUUUUUUAUGCAUUUCUAUCGCUUGUGUGUAUUUUGGCCUGGUCGAGCUGAGUUUGAGCAAGAAUUGUUUUUCAAUCCUGUAUUGAAUCAUGAAAACUUGACUUUCUAUUAUAGCUGUGGAUGAUGAGUUGAUGAUUUAAGUGCUGCUUUUUUCAGACUUUAGCAUAUGCAUUGUUAACUGAACUCGUCAUUUUGGUAAAAUGCUUGGUUUUGAUUCCAAAACAGGGAAACACUUUUUGAAUGUAUGCAUAUUUUGUGUUUGGUCGCACGCUUAUACUAAUAAUAUGCGAAGGUGCAGCUUGUUAUGCUUUGUUUUUUCAACUAUUCUGUGAGCUCGAUAAAUUAUAGUUCAUUAUUUGUUGCUUUAGUAUAUAACUAAUUUUACGUCAUUAGAGAUGUCCUGUAUUAUCAUCCGCGAAUACCUUAAAACUUUACUAUGCAGUCGUAGUUGGUUUUAAUGGGAUCCACAUUGUGGGAAAUGCAUAAUCUCUAAUGCGGAAUAAAAGCGGUUAACUUCUUGAGGCCUGUUUAUGAAGGGUUUAAUUAAGAGUUUAAGUGACACGGCGCCCCUUUUGUUUAGUAAUUUUGUGCCCCUUUUUCUAUUGAAGUGCUGCUUACUUCGAACUUUUACAUGUCGAAUUGCAUAUGGUGUUCUGCUCUGUUAGUACCCUUUUAUAUAGUGCUUAGGGUUUAUAUAGUGUAUGGUCUUGCAUAUGGGAUUCUGCCCUUUUAUAUAGUGCGUGGUCUUGUUUAUUUUUCCUUUGUUUCUUUCAUGUAUUGUGAAAUCGGUCUUGUUUUCAUGAGGUUCUUCCUGACAUAUGGUUGUAUUUUUGUUGGACACUCCAGGAAGUUGGAAGAGCAGAAGCCCAAGGAACAUAGGCCAAAGGCCAGUGAGAACAAGCCCGUAAUGAAUGAGUGAAAGAAUCUUGGCAUGAUAAGCAAUGGAUCGGUUUAGAAUUCUAGGCUCUUAAUAUGAUUAGUAUUUUGUUUAAGACAAGUUUUUUGCGCUGUCGGCAUAUCCGUAUCUUUUCAAACAAUACAUUUGUAGUUAAAAGUUCUUUUCACCAUCCGAAUCAUGAUUUAGUAUGUUUAGAAAUGUAGUUCCUAUUGGAAUGAAACAUGAAGUAUUCUCAUCCUGCAAAUAGCCUUAAGUAUGAGGCGAGGUGAUUUUCACCAACUGCAAUGCUUAUAAAGUGAGACCUUUUCACUCCCCUGCAUAAUUUGCUUUUGAUACAUAAUUGUGUAAAGUCCUAAAUUAAUUAUCUGGUAAU